UACGUAGGGACCGAGCGUUGUCCGGAAUCAUUGGGCGUAAAGAGCGUGUAGGCGGCCACUUAAGUCCUGCGUGAAAUCUUGCGGCUCAACCGCAAGCGGUCGUGGGAAACUGGGUGGCUAGAGUGCGGGAGAGGAGAGUGGAAUUCCUGGUGUAGCGGUGGAAUGCGCAGAUAUCAGGAAGAACACCGGAGGCGAAGGCGGCUUGCUGGGCUUGGUCUGACGCUGAGGCGCGAAAGCGUGGGGAGCGAACAGG
rnacentral:rRNA from 1 species